GUGCUUAUUAUGGGAAAUAUUUAUUGGUCACUCUGAUUUCAACCCGAUUUUUUUAUGAAAAUAAUUUGUUUUAAAUCGCUUUCAAUUUAAGACAACACUGUUAAAUAUGGCAGAUUGGGCUAAAAAAGCGGAUGAUCAGGAAGUUUCUAAGCUGGUAGUCGACCAACUAAACCUAAAAUCGGAUCUUGUUUAUACUCAAAAAAACAAAAACAAUGAAUUAAAAGUAAACAAACUUGUCGACGAUUGUGAACCUGAUGUCGCUGAUCCAGCUGAAACAAGUCUCCUUACUAAAAUAUUGGGAAAGGGGCUGGUAAACACAAAGUUAUCGCUUGAUAUUCAACAAAAGAACCCUAAUUCGCCCUUACAUUCAGUAAAAACGUUUGAGGCACUUCACCUGAAGGGAGAGCUUUUAAAAGGAAUUUACGCUAUGGGGUUUAACACCCCAUCAAAAAUUCAAGAAACUGCCCUGCCAACUCUGCUUGCGGAUCCACCUCAAAAUAUGAUUGCACAAAGUCAGUCUGGAACGGGUAAAACAGCUGCGUUUGUGCUUGCCAUGCUAAGUCGAGUAAACGUUAACCUAAAUCACCCACAGGUUCUUUGUUUGUCUCCGACUUACGAGUUGGCAAUUCAAACUGGUGAAGUUGCUGCACGGAUGGGUCAAUUUUGUCCGGACAUUAAGUUAAGAUUUGCAGUCCGUGGUGAGGAAGUCGACCGGAGUAAGAAAAUCGAAGAACAUAUUUUGAUCGGAACACCUGGAAAAUUGUUGGAUUGGGGACUAAAAUUUCGCCUUUUCGACAUGAAAAAAAUAGCUGUUUUUGUAUUAGAUGAAGCUGAUGUUAUGAUAGCAACGCAAGGCCACCAUGAUCAAUGUAUUCGAAUACACAAAAUGCUUAAUCCGCAGUGCCAAAUGUUGUUUUUUUCUGCGACAUAUGAUAAAGAAGUUAUGGAUUUUGCUCGUCUCAUUGUUACAGAUCCUACUAUAAUAAGAUUAAUGCGAGAAGAAGAAUCUCUUGAUAACAUUAAACAAUAUUAUGUUCAAUGCAACAACGAGGAUGGAAAAUACACCGCAAUUCAAAACAUCUAUGGCUGCAUUAGUAUUGGGCAAGCCAUAAUAUUUUGUCAUCAUCUCUCCCCAAACAGCACACGAUAUCCACUGUAGAAAUCUUAUAUCGGGUAUAUGUCCACCAAUCGAAAGCGAAUCGCCAUUACACACACAAACGGGAAAGUCAUAUCGCAGCAACGAAGAGAGGACAACAAAUAGCGGCAAAUAGAGGCUACCCUACCUAUCAUAGUCCUUCAAGAGAAGUGAUAAGAGAAAUAGAGGCUCAAGAAAAAGAAAGUGCCAGGACACGAUUUAAUAUAUCCUAAAAAAAAUAGAACACCUAAAGGCCCAUAUUGUUAUCCCAAGCCACCAAUUUGGUUUCCGCGAGAAACACGGGACCAUUGAACAAGUAAUCCAAAUAACCUCCGAGGCCUUCGACCGCUUUUGGAUGGACGGCUUGAUUUAGAAAAUUAAAACAUUGCUUCCACAGAACACUCUCUCUGAAUACCAUCCAAUUGAAGCUGCUGCUGUAUAUAAUUUACACAGCAGACCUUCCGACAACCAGUCUUAUAACAACCCAGUAUCUAGUGAUACUGUCAUUCUAAGUCGGUCUAGGUGCCCCAUAAGAGCAACGUAAAAUUUAUCAGAUUAUCUCGGGCUUUUAAAGAAAUUGCUAGCAGAUUGGCGCAUAAAGGUUCACGAGCAAGAGAGCAAACACGUCACCUUUACCCUAAACAGACAAACUUGUCCCCCACCAUAUGUAAACAACAUUGAUAUUCCACAAACAACUGAAGUAAAACAUCUUGGAGUACACCUUGAUAGAAGGCUUAUUUGGCGAAAACACAUCGAAGCUAAGAGAACACAGUUAAAAUUAAAAGCGGGAAACCUACAUUGGUUAAUAAAUUUCCGUUCUCCGUUCAAAUUGGACUACAAG